ACAGUUUUUAGUUUUAACUUUACAGGAAGCUUGUAAUAACAUGGUGGUGAUGGCUUCUCUGCACACGCUCCCAUCUCCAUUGCCAACUACAACUACUUCUUCUUCAUCAGAAUCUUCAGAUAAUAAGAGUCUAGUUAUUCCAAGAAGAAAAGCCAUUGUCUCUGGUUCAACAGUUGCAAUGGCUUCUUUUCUUCAGUUGUCUAACCCCAUUUCUUCUGUAUAUUCUGCUAUGGCCUUCCAACAACAAGAAGAGGAACUUGACGAAGAAGAAGAUAGAAUUGUUCGUCUCUUUCAGGAAACUUCACCCUCGGUUGUCUUUAUAGAAGACCUUGAGUUGGCAACAAUCCCAAAGAGCUCUUCCCACGAUGUCACACUUGCUGAGGAUGAAGAUGCAAAAGUUGAAGGGACAGGUUCGGGCUUUAUCUGGGAUAAGUUUGGUCACAUUGUUACUAAUUACCAUGUUGUAGAUAAAUUGGCUACAGACCAAAGUGGGUUACAACGUUGUAAGGUGUUUCUAGUUGACGCUAGAGGCACUAGCUUUUACAAAGAAGGAAAAAUUGUUGGUAUUGAUCCAGCCUAUGAUUUAGCUGUUUUAAAGGUUGAUGUUGAGGGCUAUGAAUUAAAGCCUGUUAUUCUUGGUACUUCUCGUGAUUUACGUGUGGGGCAGAGCUGCUUCGCCAUCGGAAGUCCCUUUGGAUAUGAGAACACUCUAACAACUGGGGUGGUUAGUGGAUUAGGCAGAGAGAUACCUUCCCCAAAUGGAAGGGCUAUUCGAGGAGCAAUUCAAACAGAUGCUGCUAUUAAUGCAGGCAAUUCAGGUGGACCGUUGAUUGAUUCCUAUGGCCAUGUCAUCGGAGUUAACACAGCAACUUUCACUCGGAAAGGGACAGGAGUUUCCUCUGGUGUGAACUUUGCAAUACCAAUCGACACUGUCGUGCGAACUGUACCAUAUCUUAUUGUAUAUGGAACACCAUACAGUGACAGGUUUUGAUCAAAAUUUUUCUUCUGUAAUCAAACAAACACUUCAAGCAGUACAAGUUUGAUAGUAAUAUUUGGCUUGAAAAAGGUGAUAGUAAGUUGAUUUAUCUCUUAUGCUGUAAAUAGCUCUGGGUAUUAUCUGGAGAAUUAUCAGGGAUAAUUAAGCAAUGCAGACAGAAUAUCCCAAUUGGUCUUCAAAUUUGAGACAUCAGUGCAGAAACCAUAAGUCCAUUUACAAGUUUUAAUGUUUUAUAUAGUCGCAAGCCCGGAUUUUGUGAUGAACGCAUAAUUUUUUAAUUGAUGAAUGACAUUUUUAAAGAGGUAUUACAAUAUAAAUUCUCUUUACUUCUCUUUUCAUGGACUAACUAUAAUGUUCUAUGGCAGUUAAUAAUUGGGUUUUUUGCAUCCAAAGUAUUAAAGGACAAGAAGUACUACUCAACAUUAACUUCUUUUUCAUACAAAUGGGAAGAGUUAGAUAAGCCGAAGUUUGAAUAGGUUGAAUACUCACAAUUGCUCGGAAUUUCAAUGGAAUCAAUGGGUGAAUUUUUUUGUGAAUAUAUAUAUAUAUAUAUUCAGCUGUUUAUGUGUAUAUUGCCUUUGUUUUCGUUUAAAAGAAAAUACUGUCUGGCGUUAUCCCUCUCCUUUCAUAUUGCAUUUACCAAAAGAAUUUCCAUUCAUGUUGCAUGCUUGCAUGAUAGCUUGGAAUGGAGCAAAAUGCGGAUUACUAAGCCUACACUCCUCUUCCAUAUUUAUUUCCAAUCGUUAGCAAAUUUCCCGUUGUUGAUUCUCUUGCCAGAUCAAAAAGCUAUCAUUGGAAACCCUAGCGAAUAAAUGUUGUUCAAUUUGGAAUGUGGUUUUAAAACCAAAAUCUUCAAAUUUGGAAACUGAUGGAAGUAGAAAUAUAAAGGCAAAAGAAGAAAACUUUAAUAGACAGAAGAGGUUUGUUUCAUCAGAAUAAAAGACUGAGUUGGC